AGUGCUGAUGUUGUUGCACUUUGUGGAUGGCAGCUGACCUUGGAUGCGUUGGAUGCCCUACGGUCACAUGUGCAAAUCCUGUGCAGACAGUACAAUCUGAGUCAGCAGCAUCGUUGUAUAAGGAUGACCACCAAACUCCUGGUAAAAGGCUCCAUCGACGGCGUCCUAUGAA